AUGAUUAAUAGACUUUUGAAGAAGAGAAAAUAUCAUCACAAAUUAUCAAGAAAGGGUUAUAUUGGACUAGAGGAGGAAUUGAGAGAGACUUAGCCUGAAGGAGAGGUAAUUGAUCGUGCAGUGUUAUGGAAGAAAACUCGUGUACCUAAAAAUGGGAAGAUAGAUGAAGAGGUGACACCAAUAGCAUCAAAAAUUGAUGAAUUGCUAGAGAAGAAGAGUAAGGGUGAGCUAGACAUCUCAGGAAGUGAUGAUGUAUUGACUCAAGCACUAGAAACUCCUGAAC
rnacentral:lncRNA from 1 species